AAAAAAAAAGGCAGGGAUGUGGCUGGGAGGAGAGGAGUUUGGCAGGGAUAGGCUACAACUCCAUGGCUCUGGGCUGUGGUCACUUAUGGCUUCAUCUGGGGGCAUCCACCCUCCAGGGCCCUCAACCAUGCCCUUUUCGCCAUACAGGGAGUUUGAGGACAUCACCAAUGCGAGCUUUCAUCUGGACAUGUGGGACCUGGACACUGUGGAGUCUGUCCGACAGAAGCUUGGGGAGCUCACGGAUCUGCAUGGGCUUCGCAGGUGUGUG
rnacentral:sRNA from 1 species